rnacentral:rRNA from 1 species
AUACGGAGGAUGCGAGCGUUAUCCGGAUUUAUUGGGUUUAAAGGGAGCGUAGGUGGGAUAUUAAGUCAGCUGUGAAAGUUUGGGGCUCAACCUUAAAGUUGCAGUUGAUACUGGUUUCCUUGAGUACGGUACAGGUGGGCGGAAUUCGUGGUGUAGCGGUGAAAUGCUUAGAUAUCACGAAGAACUCCGAUCGCGAAGGCAGCUCACCGGGCCGGAACUGACACUGAUGCUCGAAAGUGCGGGUAUCAAACAGGAUUAGAUACCCUGGUAGUCCGCACAGUAAACGAUGAAUACGCGCUGUUUGCGAUACACUGUAAGCGGCCAAGCGAAAGCGUUAAGUAUUCCACCUGGGGAGUACGCCGGCAACGGUGAAACUCAAAGGAAUUGGCGGGG